rnacentral:rRNA from 1 species
GAUGAACGCUGACAGCAUGCUUAACACAUGCAAGUCCACUUGAAUUUGGGUUUUUACCUUAGGUUUGGGUGGCGGACGGGUGAGUAACGCGUAAAGAACUUGCCUCACAGCUAGGGACAACAUUUGGAAACGAAUGCUAAUACCUAAUAUUAUGAUAAUAGGGCAUCCUAUAAUUAUGAAAGCUAUAAGCGCUGUGAGAGAGCUUUGCGUCCCAUUAGCUAGUUGGAGAGGUAACGGCUCACCAAGGCGAUGAUGGGUAGCCGGCCUGAGAGGGUGAUCGGCCACAAGGGGACUGAGACACGGCCCUUACUCCUACGGGAGGCAGCAGUGGGGAAUAUGGGACAAUGGACCGAGAGUCUGAUCCAGCAAUUCUGUGUGCACGAUGAAGUUUUUCGGAAUGUAAAGUGCUUUCAGUUGGGAAGAAACAAAUGACGGUACCAACAGAAGAAGUGACGGCUAAAUACGUG